UUCCCGUCCGUUUACCAGGCGGUGGAACGCGCAUCUCGUAUGCGCCCUCGUAUCUCGGAGAUCGGAGAUGGGAGGUGGUAGGUGGUAAGGACGUAUACCGACACAAUAGCUAUACGGCUAGUAGUGUCCGAGAUGUGACUUGGUGAGCAGUUGCGUGUGAAGCGACACUUUGCCGCCUCGCUACCUUUUAAAACACCGACGGGCUUUUGCUAGUUUGGAAUACGGUGAAGAGGAUGCGGAGACUGUGAAAGAGAUGGUGCAGGGUCAUAGGUCACGGUGCUGCAAUGCCUUUCCACCCUCUUUUGCCAGCUGACUGGGAGUAGCCAUAGCAGGGGGAACUGUUUUUUUUUUUCGAACUAACGUGCAGCUGACACACCUCUCUACCUCAUCACACUCCAGAUUGCUGUUGAAACAACCAUUUAUUCUGCGUCCAUGAGAAAAAUGUACACAAAAUACUGGACAUGCUGUAGCUCACAGUGAGGGUCAUUGGGGCCAGCUUGGAUCCAAAGGAGUUCCAGAAGUUCCAGAUACCCUCUGCCAUGGCCUUCUCAAGUGAUCACAACUUCACUGGAAAUUUGGAAGGGCAGGGUGAGAAUGGCUUCCCCUCUGCACCAUUACUUGUGGAUGAGCAAAAUCUCAGUGCUGACUUUGAGCCUGCCCCAGUUGAGCCUUUAUGUCCAGGGGAACCCCAAAACAUGAUGCCACUUACAACCCAACAAGCCAUGCCUGGUAACAGUCAGCAGAUAGGCCACUACAUUGGCAUGGAGUCACAGAAUGCUAUGGGGCAGGCAUUUUCUGGU